rnacentral:rRNA from 1 species
ACGUACACUCCUGCGGGAGGCAGCAGUGGGGAAUAUUGCACAAUGGGCGCAAGCCUGAUGCAGCCAUGCCGCGUGUAUGAAGAAGGCCUUCGGGUUGUAAAGUACUUUCAGCGGGGAGGAAGGCAAUACGGUUAAUAACCGUGUUGAUUGACGUUACCCGCAGAAGAAGCACCGGCUAACUCCGUGCCAGCAGCCGCGGUAAUACGGAGGGUGCAAGCGUUAAUCGGAAUUACUGGGCGUAAAGCGCACGCAGGCGGUCUGUCAAGUCGGAUGUGAAAUCCCCGGGCUCAACCUGGGAACUGCAUUCGAAACUGGCAGGCUUGAGUCUUGUAGAGGGGGGUAGAAUUCCAGGUGUAGCGGUGAAAUGCGUAGAGAUCUGGAGGAAUACCGGUGGCGAAGGCGGCCCCCUGGACAAAGACUGACGCUCAGGUGCGAAAGCGUGGGGAGCAAACAGGAUUAGAUACCCUAGUAGUCCCAUGA